AAAAUAUAAAGAAGGAGAUAGUGUAACACAAAGUGCUACUAAGAAAUGCGACAAUCCAUUUAAAAUUAGGUCAACACUGUUAAAAGAUGGUUCUAGUUGGAAGAUUGAUGUAAAAUAUAGAUUUCACAAUCAUGGUUUACUAGAUAGAUAUGAAGGUCAUGCGUUUGUAGGUUGACUAAAUGCUGAUGAACAACAACAUAUUGUUGAUUUGACAAAAGAUCAUGUUCCACCAAGACACAUAUUAUUCUCAUUGCAAGAACG
rnacentral:lncRNA from 1 species